GACCUGUGUGCCCAGGUUGAGCACCGAGCACCGCUCAGGAAGGAGGGGAGCACCAGAUCAGGGUCAACUGUGCUGGAGCUAAGGAGCCGGAGCCUUAGUAGACCUGCCUGGGCUGGACCACACUGCCAAGGCCCAGAGGUUUUAAGAAGACCUCUCUUUGCUGGAACGGCACCAUGAGACAAGAAUUGAAGCUCCAAGGUGUCCUUGACCAUCCAAGAAGGGCUGUGCUAGCUGCAGCUUGCAGGAAAGAUCAGGGAGUCUUCCUUUGGGUUCUCCUGAAAGCAGACUGUGAAACAAGGAUUGAGGGCAAAUUGUUCUCUGAGAGGAUGCAUGAUGGAGGGAAACACCCAGACUGGAAGCUCAGCAGAAGAACUGGGAGUAGCAUGGGAAGAGUCUGAG
rnacentral:lncRNA from 1 species